GGGAACAGUAAAUGAGAGAGCGGAAAAUUCCAGCCAAACACAAACACCACAAAAGUGUAAAAAUAUGCCUGGUCGCAAAUGUACAACAUCGCAAAAACAGUCCAGUCCUUAAGGGGAUAAACAUAGCAGUUCUCUGAAACUGCUAUGUUUAUACAAAAAAAUGGGUUAAUCCUAGAGGGACCUGGCACCCAGGCCACUUCAGUAAGCUGAAGUGGUCUGGGUGCCUAGAGUGGUCCUUUAGUGAAGUGGUCUGGGUGCCAGGUCCAGCUAGGUUUAACCCUUUCUGCUGUAAACAUAGCAGUUUCAGAGAAACUGCUAUGUUUACACUAGGGUUAAUCCAGCCUCUAGUGGCUGUCUCAUUGACAGCACUAAGUCUGUCCUCUGUGGCUGUUUAACCCGUUAACGCCGUUACGGCGUUCUAUGCCGCCCCGCAUUAAGGCUUUAAAGCCGUUGCGGCGACAUAGAACGCCGUAACGGCUUUG